GUCCUAGCUGUAAACGUUGUACACUUGGUGUGGGAGGAUUUGACCCCUUCCGUGCCGGAGCUAACGCGUUAAGUGUACCGCCUGGGGAGUACGGCCGCAAGGUUAAACUCAAAGAAUUGACGGGGCCGCACAAGCGGAGGAGCAUGUGGCUUAAUUCGAUGCAACGCGAAGAACCUUACCAGGGCUUGACAUGCAGCUGCAAGUUCGUCGAAAGGCGGACCGCCUUCGAGGGUGCUGCACAGGUGCUGCAUGGCUGUCGU
rnacentral:rRNA from 1 species